UACGGAGGGGGCUAGCGUUGUUCGGAAUUACUGGGUGUAAAGCGCACGUAGGCGGCUUUGUAAGUUAGAGGUGAAAGCCCGGGGCUCAACUCCGGAAUUGCCUUUAAGACUGCAUCGCUUGAAUUGUGGAGAGGUGAGUGGAAUUCCGAGUGUAGAGGUGAAAUUCGUAGAUAUUCGGAAGAACACCAGUGGCGAAGGCGACUCACUGGACACAUAUUGACGCUGAGGUGCGAAAGCGUGGGGAGCAAACAGG
rnacentral:rRNA from 1 species